GGAGAGUUGUCCGAGUGGCUUAAGGAGCAUGAUUGGAAAUCAUGUGUGCGGCGUAUACCGUACCCAGGGUUCAAAUCCCUGACUCUCCGCCA
rnacentral:tRNA from 1 species